UUAGCCUGUGAUGCUUAUACAGAAAAUGU
rnacentral:piRNA from 1 species